AUUGAACGCUGGCGGCAGGCCUAACACAUGCAAGUCGAACGGUAGCACAGAGAGCUUGCUCUCGGGUGACGAGUGGCGGACGGGUGAGUAACGUCUGGGAAACUGCCCGAUGGAGGGGGAUAACUACUGGAAACGGUAGCUAAUACCGCAUAACGUCGCAAGACCAAAGCGGGGGACCUUCGGGCCUCACACCAUCGGAUGUGCCCAGAUGGGAUUAGCUAGUAGGUGGGGUAAUGGCUCACCUAGGCGACGAUCCCUAGCUGGUCUGAGAGGAUGACCAGCCACACUGGAACUGAGACACUGUCCAGACGCCUACGGGAGGCAGCAGUGGGGAAUAUUGCACAAUGGGCGCAAGCCUGAUGCAGCCAUGCCGCGUGUAUGAAGAAGGCCUUCGGGUUGUAAAGUACUUUCAGCGGGGAGGAAGGCGGUGAAGUUAAUAGCUUCACCGAUUGACGUUACCCGCAGAAGAAGCACCGGCUAACUCCGUGCCAGCCGCCGCCGUAA
rnacentral:rRNA from 1 species